rnacentral:misc_RNA from 1 species
GAUGAAGAACGCAGUGAAAUGCGAUAAGUAAUGUGAAUUGCAGAAUUCAGUGAAUCAUCGAAUCUUUGAACGCACAUUGCGCCCCUUGGUAUUCCGAGGGGCAUGCCUGUUCGAGCGUCAUUAUAACCCCUCAAGCUCAGCUUGGUGUUGGGGCCUGCUGCACUGGCAGCCCUUAAAAUCAGUGGCGGCACCAUCUGGCUCUAAGCGUAGUAAUUCUUCUCGCUAUGGAGUCCUGGUGGAUGCUUGCCAUCAACCCCCAAUUUUUCUAUGGUUGACCUCGGAUCAGGUAGGGAUACCCGCUGAACUUAAGCAUAUCAAUAAGCGGAGGA